rnacentral:sRNA from 1 species
CUGUAGAAAUAACUCCAAGAACACUUUUAAUAGUUUAUUUUCACAUUGAAAAUCAGAUUUGCUCCAGCCUCAAAGAGUAUAUUUAUGUAAAAUUAGGUAAGCGAUAUAGAAGCAAGCUGCACUUUUUUUCUAAAUGGGAAGGCAUUAAAAAAGAAAAGUCUCAUUUUAGUAACAUAGUCUUCCUUAAACUCUAUGCCACUUGUAAGAUUUCUGAAAACUGAAGACAUAGAAGGGAAAGGGCUUGAUAUGAACGACAGCUUUGCUGGUAAAUAAACCCAACUGAACCUAAGAUUAUCUAAGGUAACCUCUUUUUCUAGUCUUUUAUUGUGUGAACAGUUACCUCCUGCUGAGUUGUUGGCAGAAUUUCCAUAUAAUCUUGCUUAUGACCAUUUCUACAUUAUUUGUAUCAUCUUUUAGAAGUCUUACCCAGGUUGAUAUAGGUUACCGUUCUCUAGAUCUGUGUCUCCAAUUCUUCUUACAUGGCAUUAGGUAUUUUAAGCUUGUUCUUUUUCAGGAGUCGUAUAGUCAAUUCUUGAAUGUGUUGAGAGGUGCUAUGUCAUUGUAAGCUUUAUUCUUCUUCUCUGAAUGAUUAGCUUGUUUAAAUUUUACCUUAAAUUCUUUUUUUUUUUUUUUGAGACGGAGUCUCGCUCUGUCGCCCAGGCUGGAGUGCAGUGGUGUGAUCUCGGCUCACUGCAAGCUCCACCUCCUGGGUUCACGCCAUUCCCCUGCCUCAGCCUCCUGAGUAGCUGGGACUACAGGCACCCGCCACCACGCCUGGCUAAUUUUUUUUUUUUUUUUGUAUUUUUAGUAGAGACGGGGUUUCACCAUGUUAGCCAGGAUGGUCUCAAUCUCCUGACCUUGUGAUCCACCUGCCUCGGCCUCCCAAAGUGCUGUGAUUACAGGUGUGAGCCACCACGCCCAGCCUUUACGUUGAAUUCUUUAAAUUCAGCUUGUGACUUUGCACUUCAGGAUUCUGAGUGUUCUCUGUCUUCUUCCUGCAUUGUUUUUCUUAUACCAUACAGGUUUUUCAUUGGCCUUGACUUUUUGUUGUUAACUCAUUCUUCUUUGGGUUUAUCUUCAUUUGUUUCUGCUGAAUAUUAUUUGUUUCAAACUAAAAAUAACAUUCCACAUUUUAAUUGAUGUGCGGACUCUUAAUCUACUUAAAAUGUGGGCUGAAGUUCCAUGAUUCCAGCUGGUCUGGAAUAGGUCAUUUAACUGGAUGUUAAUCCACCUACAUUGUUCCCUAAGUGACAUGUGGGUCCCAUUCUGCUGACAUAUUUGUGGGUCCUGGUAACAACCAUUUGGGUAGAUUUGCUGAUUCCUCUUUUCUCCUUAGUGGAAGAGAAAGCCAAUACCCACCUCCUCUUGGGCAUGUGCUUAGACGCCUGUGCUCGCUACCUUCUGUUCUCCAAGCAGCCGUCACAGGCACAAAGGAUGUAUGAAAAAGCUCUGCAGAUUUCUGAAGAAAUACAAGGAGAAAGACACCCACAGACCAUUGUGCUGAUGAGUGACCUGGCUACUACCCUGGAUGCACAGGGCCGCUUUGAUGAGGCCUAUAUUUAUAUGCAAAGGGCAUCAGAUCUGGCAAGACAGAUAAAUCAUCCUGAGCUACACAUGGUACUCAGUAAUCUAGCUGCAGUUUUGAUGCACAGAGAACGAUAUACACAAGCAAAAGAGAUCUACCAGGAAGCACUGAAGCAAGCAAAGCUGAAAAAAGAUGAAAUUUCUGUACAACACAUCAGGGAGGAGUUGGCUGAGCUGUCAAAGAAAAGUAGACCUUUGACUUAAAUUCUGUCAAGCUCUAAAUCCAUUUUUGUGUAGGGAGAAUAAUGUCUAGUAAUGUGGAAGAAUAGCUAUCAUUCCUGUCUCUGUGGCACCCAGAGCAAUGGCUUAAAUCUGUCGUUUUUGAUAUUCAGGUUUCCUCAAUUUAGCCUUAGUGAAGGAGGGGUUGUAUACACUGCCAUUUUUGUAUUUUAAAGGAAAAAUGACUUUCAUUCCCAACUGAUGAUGACCUUUCAGGAUGUCGUCAAGUGAUGCUUUCAGUUGUAACACGUGACUUGGUGCUGUCCCUGCUGGUCUAAGUAGAACUAUAGAUUAAUAUGGGCCGGUGUUCCUGUGCACUGUGGGUGUGGUGAUUCAGCCUGGCAUUUCUACCAUAAGUUUUUGGUCUGCUGAUUUGCUGCCCUGUCUUCUCUUACUUUAUCAAUACCUGGCAAACUGACCAGAAUUACCUUCCUCAUGGCAAAGGGGGAUUAUGGUGAAUUGUUGUUCUUAUAGUCUGUUUCAUGAAGCACAAGUGGAAUUUAAUACAUAAAGGAGAAAAAUAUCUUAGUUUGCUACCAGCAUCCAGCAUGAAGUUGUAAAGUGGGGAUUAGGCACGUGACAGUAUAGCACCCAUUUGAAUUUAAAUAAAAGUGAACCAUAUUUAUCUGGUUAUAUAAAACUAAAAAUGGGGGUGUUUAUAUAAAACUAAAAACUAAGAAUGAUGUAACCUUUUGUCUGUGUUAUCUGAACACACUCUACUUCCUUUGCAGCCUUAGUCACACAACUGAGUCAUCUCAAGUACUCUUUAAGGACACACAGCCCAGGCUGUUCUGAAUCAGAAUAGGCCCCUACAGGUAUAUUUUAAAACUUUUCGUAAUUCUAAUGUGUACUGCUGGUAUAGCUGAACUACUGACCUGGAUCUUAGUCCUAGCCUUUUUGCUUUUGCAAUUUCAGUAUCUUCAUCUCUAAACUAGGGAAACACUGGGAUUCUUUCUUAGCUGUGGGGGAAGGUAUUUGGUUAGAUGACUUUGAAUGAAUAGACUGCUGUGCUGAAAGAGCUUUAUCACACUGUCUCAAAGUAUGUAAAGAUACAUAGGUGGAUGCUCUUACUGCAGCAGUCAUAUGAAUACAUUUUUAGCCAUUUACCUAAGGAAAAAGACAGUUUUUCUAGGUACCAUGAAGGAAGAUUGACCCUGUUGGUAUGCCUGUGGGGGUGGGAUGUGAGUGGGACUGAUAAACUGAUAUUUUUGGUUUGUAUGUACAUACUGGAAGAAUCUUUUCAUAAUAAAUGAGACUACACAACAAUA